UUUUGCCUCUAUUUUUUACCUCUCGACGUUGAACUAAUUUCGUGAACGAGAGAAAUUUUUUUAUUGUUUAAAUCGAGACGGAAAUUUGGACGGCUCUCACUGUGGAUGAAAGUUAAAGAAGAAAGUUUUGAAUUUCUUUACAAAUUACCUUUGUUAAGUUGUUCUGUAAUUUUAUAAUGGCUAAAAAGUGGGAAAAGUAAAUUGUACAAAAGUAUUCAAAGGGAUCCGUAGUUUCUCGUAAUUAUGCAUUACUGGAGCAGUAGAGGAACACAUGGAACUUUUUUGUCGAUCAUGAAUCACUUGAUACACCUGUUUGAUUACCAUGGAACGUUAAUCGUCCCCUGAAGAUACGGAUCCUCUUUGAGAAAUGUAAACAUAUGAAUUUAAAGGAUUGCAAUCUAAGAAAUUAUGGACUGGUGUUUUGAAAGGUCUUGUACAACUGCUCUUAUCCAGGCCAUUCCAUCGCAAAGAAAGUGAGGAGGAAUGCAAGGUAUCGUCGAUAUAAUUAUAGUCAAGUUUAAUAUGUUCAAUACACUUCUUUUUAUUCA